ACUGUGUCACAGGAAAAACAUGGGUCUGUCCAUGGCCAUACAAGAAAAGAGUCCAGCCCAAGGCCACUCCAUCAUCUCCUCCCACCUAGGAUUCUUCUCAACUCUUUGGACAUCUCUCACUUGCACCAACUUUCGUCACACUUGCCCAUUUCCUCCUGCUUCAUCUCUCUCUCUCUCUCCUCAUUCAGAUUCAGGAGGAUCAGUAUUUGUAAGGUUUCCAUUAUUCAAGAAAAGGGUUAAAAUCUUUGCCUCUGUCUGCCCAGAACUCCCACAGCGGCCAGUUCAACCCCCACUUCUCCUUCUGGCUGGCUGUGCUGCCAGCACAUGAUAUCAAAUUUCAAGGCAGCACAGGAACUGGUGCUCUCUAUCUCUCUCCCGGUGGGAUGGGGGGCCCGAUGCCUCUCAGUGUUCUUCCACCCUUCCAUCUUUCAGAGCCUUCACCCCCCUCCUCUGCCCAAAGCUCCAGCCCACCUCACCCUGGCUGCAUGGCUUCCUCUCCCCCACCCAGCCCUGGCUGGGCAGGGGAGCUCUGACCUCCUUCACUGACCAGGACCAAGAGAGUUCUCCUGGGAGUUCUCUGCUCUUUUUAACCCCCUGUGUUCUCAGAGGCGGUCCGUACCUUCAGUGGCCAAACCAGGUGCCAAUAUUCAAAUCCAAGCACUGAUUAGUUUGACCACAACCUCCCAAAAAACUCACUUCCUUCUCAGCCUAGGACAAGUGUUAAUGAUAUAAUUAAUGUAAAGAGUUGAGUUAAGUUAAAUGUGCUAAUGUAUGGGUAUGUACCACUAGAAGAAGGUAUAACAAGGACUCAAUAAAUUUAAUAGAAUGAACCCUCUAGAAUAUUACCUCAUAAGGUACAAGAGAUGACAACACCACCCUUAACUAUGACUGGAGAAUGGGUCAACCAAUAGAAUGGAUUUAUUCUGAAAUGAUUGGUCAGGAUUACAUGGCGGUGUACACCAACCAGCAAACAGAAGAGACCAAUCAGUGCAAGGAUUGACAAAUGCACCAAUCUGGUGGUGCAAAUGACUUUAAAACUCCCAGGUGCUUGGCACCUAGUCCUCCUGCGGAAUUCAAAGUCUGAGGGAGCACCCUGUGUGUCAUGAGUUUUUUGUUACUCUGGCUUUUUGCGCAGGCCCUGCGCUUAUCCUGGGGCCUUGUUUCCACUUGUUCUUGGUUUACAAUACACAGGCUCACCUUUUAAAAGUUGCUGGCCUCAUUUAUUUUUAACAGUUUUGGGGACUGAUCUGGGAUAACCACACCCAGAGGUGGUCCUGGAGAAGGACAGGACUGGAGAAGACAUGUGCGGCUGAUUUUUGGCCACCCACGUUUUGUGUUUCUUUGAGACCGAGGAAGGACUGUGGGCUACGCCCGAGGAACGAUUGGCGGCACAACAACCCACACUGUGAGGACCCUCCAAGAGGGAGCGGGGCUCGCAGUGCACAGAUCCUGAGAUUCCAGAGGGGCAAGUGCUAGUGAGGGUGAAAUUUGUGACAAGAGCAUGGAAUGACAUCAGAAGAAAGCCAGAGAAGAUGGAGGAUUGGCAGGAGAAAGGCUUGAAUGAGUGGCUGCAAGAGGCGCAAAAGGUGUAUUUGAGAAGGGAAGAGGAGAACAUGAAGUCAAGAUGAGGAUCAUGGUUGCAGUGGCUAGAGAGAGCCAGGAUAGAGAAAGAGAGGAACAAAAGGAAACAGUUAAACAGAAAAGGGAAGAGACUCGGGAACUGUACAAGGACCCCUGGGAGGGGAAGUGUUUCUACUGUGGGAAAAAGGGUCAUUUCAAAAAAGAUUGUAAGAAAUGGAAAAGGGACAGGAGGCUGUAUAGAGAAACAGAUAUUGUGGCAAAUGAUGAUUAGGGGUGUCAGGGGCUCUAUCCCCUGGUGAAAAUGAAUAAUCAUAAGAUAGAGCCCUUUAAAAAUUUGAAAAUAGGUCCCCAGGGGGAAGAAUUUGAAUUUUUAGUUGAUACUGGGGCUGAUAGAUCAUGUAUUUCAAGAUUCCCAAAAGGAUGACAGUUAAGUAAGGGGAUGUGCAAAGUAAGGGAUGCCAGUAGUGAACCAUUUGAAGUACUGGUUAUAGAGCAAGUUGCUGUUAAGAGAAAUUCGGGAGAGGGAUAUGUGGGUUUGUUAUAUAUGCCCAAAUUUGAAUGUAAUUUAUUAGGCCAUGACCUACAGGUGCAGCUGGGGGUAGGAGUAAUCCCUAAAGAAGAACAGAUGGUAGCAAAGAUGAUGAUGCUCAAGUUGAAAGAUGAAAGUGAGAUUGAUUACAAAGUCUGGGCAGAAGACGGAGGUUGUGGCCUACUAAACAUACCCCCAUAGAGGUGAAAAUGAAACUGGGAAUUUCAGCUAUCUGGGUAAAACAGUAUCCUAUUGCUUCAGGGAUUGGCUCCAGUGAUAAAAGAGUUGAUCAAAGAUGGAGUACUGGAACCGUGCAUGUUUUCCCAUAACACCCGAAUAUUACCAGUAAAGAAAUCAGAUGGUACUUACCAACUGGUUCAGGACCUGAGAGAAAUUAAUAAACAGACCAUCUCAUGAUACCCAGUAGUAUCUAAUCCAUACACGCUUUUGAGUGAGAUACCAUCAAAACAUGCAUGGUUCACUGUAACAGACCUAAAAGAUGCUUUCUGGGCUUGCCCCCUAGCUAAGGAGAGUAGGAGUUAGUUUGCCUUUGAGUGGCAGGAUGAAGAAACAGGGAGAAAACAACAGCUCCAAUGGACCCUGUUACCCCAAGGGUUCACAGAAUCCCCAAAUUUAUUUGGGCAAGCUCUAGAAGAACUAUUAAGACAGUUCCAACUUAGAUGGUUAAAGUGUCUCCCAUUAGCAUUAAUGAGGAUAAGAACAAAACCAAGAGCUGACAUAGGCAUUUCCCCCUAUUAAACAAUGUUUGGAUUACCAUUCCUAACCACCUCAGAUUGUGUAGGGACUUAUGAGGAAGGAGAACAGAGUACAAAGAAGUAUAUACAGAUUAUUACAAACACCCUAGAAGAAUUAAGGAAGAACAGAUACCUUCCCCAAAGCAUACCAAUUGACUUUAAAAUUCAUUCAUUCCAGCCAAGGGAUUGGGUUUUUAUAAAGGUGUGGAAAGAACAACCAUUAACCCCAAAGUGGGAGGGUUCCCUCCAGGUCCUAUGGAAAUGACGGAAACUGCAGUAAGGAUACCAGAGAGAGGAUGGACUAAUGUCACCAGAGUUAAAGGUCCAGUACUAGCCCCUACCAAAUGGACAGUGAUCAAUGCAACAGACACAAAACUAACCCCGAAAAGAAGCUCCAGGUAAAGUAGAGUAAAAAGAGGCAGAAUUUUUAACCCUUUAUGAAUCAAAGUUAAAAGUUAUUUGUGAGUUGAGAUGUUAUUUCUAAAUUGUUAUUUAAAUAUUCAUUAGAAACCAUUGUAAAAUUUCUGGUGUUUCUCAUUACAGAUCUAAAAACCCAAGAUCCUGAAGAAUAGAGCACCCCCCACUCACUUAGCAAUCAGGCUCUAAAAAAAGAAACAUACAAGUCAAUACAAGAAGGGAAGUGAGUCACUGCAAAACAAAACCCCCUCUUCCUGCCGAAAGGCCAGGUCAUCGCUCAGGCCAUUCCACUGCCACAGCAGCUGUUCAAUGACCUGGAUCUUUCAGUCUAUUGCACUGAGAUGGUAGGAGAGGACAAGCCCCUCAUUUUGUGUGGCCUUAAGAGUGGGGGGCACCCAAUCCAGCUCCAAGGGAUGAUGGACACAGUGGGGGAUGUGACGGUCAUUUGCCUGCACAAAUGGCCAUCACAUUGGGAGCUGCAAGACCUGGCGAGUAAGGUACAAGGUGUAGGGGGGAUCCAAUUGGCUAAACAAUUGAAAAGCAUUGUACAAACUGAGGGACCCGAUGGGCAAUUGGCUGCUGUAUGCCCAUUCGUCUUGAUUUCGAAGUUCACCCUUCCCCUUCACCUUUCCAUGGAGAAGAGACACUAUGUCCCAGUGGGGAGUCAGGCUCGAAAUCCCAAAGACUCCCCAGGUUUUUUAGGUGUGGUCACUGAGAAGAGCACCCUACCUACAAAUUAAAUUGGCUCACAGAAACACCUUUCUGGGUAGAUCAGUGGCCCCUAAGUAAACAAAAAUUAAGUGCACUCACUCAGCUAGUGGAGGAACAAUUGGCCAAAGGUAACAUCAUUGAGACAAACAGCCCUUGGAAUUCCCCAGUGUUUGUCAUCAAGAAGCCAGGGAAGAACAAGUGGCGUCUCCUCCAUGAUCUGAGAAAAAGAAAUUAAGUCAUCGAGGACAUAGGGUCUCUCCAACCAGGGAUACCAUCUCCUUCAAUGCUCCCCCAAAAUUGGCAAUUGGCUGUAAUUGAUAUUAAGGAUUGUUUUUUUCAAAUUACCCGACACCUGGCGUUUUGCGUUCUCAGUUCACUCCAUCAACCGAGAAGCUGCUAUGAAGCGGUACCACUGGCAUGUUCUUCCACAAGGAAUAAAGAACUCCACUACCAUCUGCCAGUGGUACGUCGGCAAAAUCCUGUCCCCAGUGCAUGCCAGAGCGGGGAAGUGCAUCAUCUGUUACUAUGUGGAUGAUGUACUGGUGUGUGCCCCUGACGACAAUGCACUGACCAGGGUUCUUGAUGAUGCUGUUAUUGCUUUGUUGGUGGCAGGAUUUGAGUUGCAGCAAGGAAGGGUGCAGAGGCUGCUACCUUGGAGGUAUCUGGGCCUUGAGAUCACCAACCGGACAUAACACCUCAGAGGUCGGUGAUCAAUGAUAAGCCCAAAACCUUAAGGAUCUCCACCAGUUGUGUGGAUCUUUGAAGUGGGUCAGGCCCUGGCUGGGGCUCACCAUGGGGGAUUUAUCUCCUCUUUUCAACUUACUAAAUGCAGGGGAGGAGACAGGGCAGGAUGGCCCAGGAGGGCUUUGACCCAGGAGGCAGAGGCUGCAUUGGACAAGGUCCAGCUGGCACUGUCAAACUGGCAGGCCCACUGCUGCCGGCCAGAGCUUCCAUUUAACUUCAUCAUCAUGGGGAAACUGCCACACCUGUAUAGGCUGGUAUUUCAGUGGGACAAAAGGUCAGAGGGACCCCCUCUUAAUCAUAGGGUGGGUGUUCCUUGGCCACCAACUGUCCAAGAGUAUUGCACAGUCACAGGAGCUGAUGGCCCAGCUAAUCAGCAAGGCCAGGGCAUGCAUGAGAUUGUUGCCAGGGUGCAAUUUUGCAUGCAUUUAUGUACCCAUCAAGCUGUCCACUGGGAAGUUAACCAAAGAGGCCCUGGAACAACUAUUAAGAGAAAAUUAAAAACUACAAUUUGCUCUAGAUAGUUACCCCAGAAAAUUGUUAAUCCCCACCAUCUGGGCCACAAAUUAUUUAACAUCUAAUUUAAUUUGGUCCCAAAAGACAAACAAAGUCAUAAGCCUGUCAAGGCCUUGACAGUUUCCACUGACAAAUCUGGAGGUUCUCACAAGUCAGUAAUGACUUGGAAGGACCCCCAAACUCAGCCGUGGGAAGCUGAUGUUAAGGGCUCCCCUCAAGUAGCUGAGUUGGACGCAGUCGUCAGGGUCUUUGAAAGAUUUUCAGAACCAAUCAACAUUGUCACGAUUCAGCUUACGUGGCAGGGGUAGUAUCUAGGGCAGAACAUGCACUACUGAAAAAGGUCUCUAACCCAGUGAUUUACAGGUUGCUCUCAAAACUCAUACAGCUGGUUUCCCACUGAGAGCAACCAUUCUACAUAAUGCAUGUAAGAUUGCACACAGACCUGCAGAAGAGAAUCAGAGAGCUGAUGCCCUGGCCAUUCUGCUGCAGCUGGCUGGCCAAGGAAAUAUCUUUUAUCAGGCCCAGCUUAGCCAUCAGCAAUUCCAGAACGUGCCUGGUCUGGUCUGCCAGUUCCAUCUUAGGCAUGGCCAGGGCAGAGCAAUCAUGGCCACAUGCCCUAACUGCCAGGAGUCCUCACUACCAUCCAUGGGGGCAAGGGUGAACCCCAGAGGACUCCAAAGCUGUGAGCUGUGGCAGACAGAUAUUGCCCACAUUCCCCAGUUUGGAAGGCUCAAAUAUGUGGAUGUGUUGGUGGGUACCUUCUCCAGUGCAGUCCAUGCCUCUGUCCACAAGGGGGAGAAGGCCAGCGAUGCACAAAAACACCUGGUGCAAGCCUUCUCCAUCCUGGGGAUCCCCUAAGGUGAUGAAGACUGACAAUGGGCCAGCCUAUACCUCCAAGGCAUUCAGUAAUUUCCUGCAGGAAUGGGGGGUUGAACAUCAGACUGGGAUUCCAUACUCCCACACCAGCCAAGCAAUAAUAGGAAGAAUGCAUCAGACCCUGAAGAAGACAUUGGGACAUCAAAGGGAUGAAGACCAUUUCCCCACAUGUCAGGCUCUCAAAAGCACUGUUCACUAACUUUCGUCAACUUUCUGAACUGCUCUUUUGAGAACCUGAACCUGCCAAUAUUGAGGCACUUCCAUCAGAACAAGAUGUUAAAGAGCAUCCAUCAGUCCUGGUGAGGGACCCAGAGACAUGUAAACCCAGGGGCCUUUCGAGCUGGUGACCUGGGGGCAUGGAUACACUUGCAGACAUAUCUGUGGCAUCUGACAGGAAAAGACUCAAGGGAGAGGAAGAACCAUGAACUUUGUGUUUUCCUUAUGUCAGAAUUAUUGUUUGAAGACGUAUGUUAAGUUUCUCAUAUGUUGUAAGAAACGGGCCAGAAGACCAGCUCCUCUGAAAAGGACUUUAUUAAAGACAGCUCUGGGUGGGGAGCCCAAGGGGUUGCGCACACUGCUGCUGCUCCAGCUGGACAACGCUGAGGAGGAGGUGCACAGCUUUGUCUCCUGGCAGAACUGGGGCUUCCGUCCUCAUGAGAGUCCCUAGGAAGGCGUUUGUUGGCUCAUAGUCUAGGGGUAUCAUUUAGACUGAGUGCUGUCAAAGUUAUGGUGAUAGGACAGAACCUGGCUCUAGUUGAUGGUAUGUGAUUUUCUGCAGUUCUGCUGGGCUAGAGUUACAGUUUUUACUCUUUUAUGCUGGUUUGUUGUUUUGGGGGUCUGAAUUGCACCAAAGGCCCCUCAUUUGCAUGUGGUUUGUGUGCAAGUUCUUUUGGGAGCAGUGAAAGUGGUCCCUGACAGAAAGGGCUAUGGACACAGGGUAAGUGAUGGGAAGGAAUACAAAUACAAGAUCGGCAGAACAUGUCUUAACUUAUCAAGAGAUAUUAACACUUAACAAUGACAACAAGGUAAGUUUAGAAUUUUGACAUUUAACAUUGAAUAGCAAACUAACAUUUUAAUUAAGAGCUUAUCAGCACUUGAUAUUCAAUAGUAAUUUUAAUCAUACAUUUUAUUCAAGAGUUUGUGUCUUUGGGGUUUUAUUCUUUACAUAUGUUGUUUCUCUUUCUUUAAGAGACAUCCAUCCCAGUCACCAAGAUGUGGAGAUACCUGUGGCUCCUGGUGCUGUUAAGCCAGUCCCCCGAGGUGUAGAUCAUCCCACAGCCAAAGCAAAAAGUAUGGAUCACCUUCACCUGUGCACUCCAACAAGGCCAUCUAUGCUUGUCUAUGACUGCUGCAGAUGACCUGAUGUCAACCUGCCUGGUGGCGAUUCCCCCUCUUCUUUUGAUCAAUACCCAGCCCAUCUCAAAUCCAUCACUUCAGAAGUUAAUAAAAACUCUCCCCUCAUUUUCAAACAUUAUGUUCCCAUUAAAAACCCCUUACUUUCAUGGCAUAAAUAGACCUCUGAGUUUCCUGAGUUAGAAAAGGAUUCCACUGAGUUUGAACUCCUUGGUUCGUUCAUUGCGCCCUUUUGCAUUCAGCUUAUUUUUAAACCUCUCUACUACCCCGAAUUUUAUAUUUCUGUUAAAG